rnacentral:rRNA from 1 species
CCAAUAGCGUAUAUUAAAGUUGUUGCAGUUAAAAAGCUCGUAGUUGAAUUUCGGGGUUCUACCGUUGGUCAGGCUUUGUCUGUACUGGCGUGUAGAAUUUCUACCUUCUGGGGAACCAUCAUGUUAUUAAUUUAGUGUGAUGGGAAACCAGGACCUUUACCUUGAAAAAAUUAGAGUGUUCAAAGCAGGCUUAUGUCUGAAUACAUUAGCAUGGAAUAAUAGAAUAGGACGGUGGUCCUGUUUUGUUGGUUUCUGAAUCACCGUAAUGAUUAAUAGGGAUAGUUGGGGGCAUUAGUAUUCAAUUGUCAGAGGUGAAAUUCUUGGUUUUAUUGAAGACUAACUUCUGCGAAAGCAUUUGCCAAGGAUGUUUUCAUUAAUCAAGAACGAAAGUUAGGGGAUCGAAGACGAUCAGAUACCGUCGUAGUCUUAACCAUAAACUAUGCCGACUAGGGAUCGGACGAUGUUAACUUUUCUUGACUCGUUCGGCGCCUUACG